rnacentral:rRNA from 1 species
CAGCCGCCGCGGUAAUACCGGCGGCCCGAGUGGCGGCCACUCUUAUUGGGCUUAAAGCGUCCGUAGCCGGGUUGGUUAGUCUCCCGGGAAAUCUGGCCGCUUAACGGUCAGAAUUCCGGGGGAUACUGCCAGCCUAGGGACCGGGAGAGGCCGAGGGGAUUCCCGGAGUAGGGGUGAAAUCCUAUAAUCCCGGGAGGACCACCUGUGGCGAAGGCGCUCGGCUGGAACGGGUCCGACGGGGAGGGACGAAGGCCAGGGGAGCAAACCGGAUUACAUACCCGGGUAGUCCGGGCUGUAAACGAUGCGGACUUUGUGUCGGACAAGCUAUGAGCUUGUCCGGUGCCGGAGGGAAACCGUUAAGUCCGCCGCCUGGGGAGUACGGCCGCAAGGCUGAAACUUAAAGGAAUUGGCGGG